ensembl:lncRNA
UACAUUUUAUUGUGCGACCCCUGGUUCAGGUAAGUGUUCUCUUGAGCAUUUAUUGUGAAAGUUAGAGAGGUUAAGAGGUGCUUGUGUCAUCCACUGUGGACAAAUAAAACUCUUUCAGUCCCCACUCACAGGCCUGGCCCAAAGCCAACUGAUAACACAGUCACAUACCAUCUUUAUUAAUGAUUGGUCAAGUCCCGGGCCGGAGCACGAACCCCCCGGCAGGUAAAAUGAAGGAUAUUUCCGUAAUGACCACAUCUGAGCUCCACCCAACAAAAGCAAUGCAUUCUAACACUGCAAUGACAACAUUCCUUCAGGAACUAAAGAAAGCAGACAGAAAAAAAAGCUUUAUAAGGAAGCUUACAUCACCAAUUAUGGAAUGAAAUGCACUCUAACAUCUUGAUAACAUUAGUUAAUUAGUUAACAUGCAGCAUGACAACUAUAAAACACAAAUUAUGUUGAAAAUUGGGAAUUUUUUAUGGGUCUGUCAGGUAUUUUAAAGACCAAUUCUCACUAUUAACUAGCAUGCAUAUUGCUUACAUAUUGGUUGUUUAUUAGUAAUUAUAAAUGCAUGAAGCUCCACCCCUAAACAUAACAGUCAGUGAAGCAAAUACAUACAAAUAAGCUACCAGUUUACUAGAGUUGCGUAUUGUCAUGAGAUUGUGUUGGUUUUGGCAGAUCCCCGGCUCAGCAGCUGCACUCCGACCCGAAACCUUAACCACUGUACGGCGAGGCCCUGACCGAUGGCCUGCUGUGUGGGGGCCAAGGACAGCAGCUGAUAAGACUAGACAUGACCAGGAGAGGGGGAAGAGAGAACAACCGCAAAACAGAGGGAGGACUGGAGGAGGUGUUGCGGAGAUAUCAAUGAGCUGGCGUUACUAAGAGAUGAGCCUGGAUUCAUCAGCAUAUAACGGUUUUUGAAGUCUGCAUGGCUCUGUUGCUCAAUCAUGGCUUAUCACACUGUGUCAUGGAGUGUGAGUGGGCCACACACUGAUGACUGGAUCAAUAAGCAGGUUCCUGCAGGUCCACCUCUUCCCGCACACCGUCCUUGUUCGACCAGGCAGUGUAAUGAGUUACUUAUGCCACUCUGCACCUUCAAACCCCCAUUAACCAAUCCCCCAUACCCCUGAUCCCCUCCUCCACA